UACGAAGGGGGCUAGCGUUGCUCGGAAUUACUGGGCGUAAAGGGCGCGUAGGCGGGUCGUUAAGUUGGGGGUGAAAGCCCAGGGCUCAACCCUGGAAUUGCCUUCAAUACUGGCGACCUUGAGUAUGGCAGAGGUGUGUGGAACUCCGAGUGUAGAGGUGAAAUUCGUAGAUAUGCGGAGGAACACCGAUGGCGAAGGCAGCCCCCUGGGCUGACACUGACGCUCAGGCACGAAAGCGUGGGGAGCAAACAGG
rnacentral:rRNA from 1 species